CCAAAGAACAUACCAGAACCUGGUUCAAGUAGUCAACAGAAGGUUUGUAAGUAAGUGCUGAAAUAACAGCACUCUGUUCACUAUUUGUAUUACUCUGUUUGACUUUGUUUGCCCAUUCCAGAGAAAAUUUGUACAUUUUGCCAGUUCAUGUUGACAAGUGUCUUCAUAAGUGAGUUUAACCAGUUCAUUCAAAGAUGCAAAUUCAUUCUGAAACAGUAUAAGGAAGUGACUUUGAGUAAGUGAAUCAUUAACUCAUCUAAUUAGAAAUACUUUGUGUCUCUUAUAUUUCCAGCGUCAACGUAAUAGAAUUGAUGUAGACACUCUGCGAGCACUAAUUGAAAGCAAAGGUCUGAGUAUAUUGAAGGAUUAUGAAGCUUCAGGAAUGCUUUCAGAGACAUCAAGAAAAGUCCUUGUGAAGAUAGGUGUCAGUGCGUUGGUGGAACAAAGUGGAUUUUACCCUUGUAAUGAUGAGAAGCGGAUGUUGGCAGAAAGUGUAGUAACACUGUUUCCUUCUCUGAAGAUCAAGAUGGGAGAAGAGAAUGAAGGAUUUGAACAUUUCUAUGACCCAGUCUCCCACAGUGGAUUUAUUGAGAUGAGACUUAGAAAUCUACGGAGGAAACUUUGUGAUGAUCAGCG